GGCGAACGCUGGCGGCGUGCCUAACACAUGCAAGUCGAGCGGGGACAAUUAGCAAUAGUUGUUCUAGCGGCGGACGGGUGAGUAACGCGUGAACAAUCUGUCCCAGAGCGGGGGAUAACAGAUGGAAACAUCUGCUAAUACCGCAUAAGACCACGAGGUCACAUGAUCUUGGGGUAAAAGGAGCAAUCCGCUUUGGGGUGAGUUCGCGUCCGAUUAGCUAGUUGGCGGGUAACGGCCCACCAAGGCGACGAUCGGUAGCCGGCCUGAGAGGGCGAUCGGCCACACUGGAACUGAGAAACGGUCCAGACUCCUACGGGAGGCAGCAGUGGGGAAUAUUGGGCAAUGGGCGAAAGCCUGACCCAGCAACGCCGCGUGAGGGAAGAAGGUUUUCGGAUUGUAAACCUCUGUCCUUGGUGACGAACACAAUGACGGUAGCCAAGGAGGAAGCCCCGGCUAACUACGUG
rnacentral:rRNA from 1 species